UGGGGAAUAUUGGACAAUGGGCGCAAGCCUGAUCCAGCCAUGCCGCGUGAGUGAUGAAGGCCCUAGGGUUGUAAAGCUCUUUCACCGGUGAAGAUAAUGACGGUAACCGGAGAAGAAGCCCCGGCUAACGUCGUGCCAGCAGCCGCGGUAAUACGAAGGGGGCUAGCGUUGUUCGGAUUUACUGGGCGUAAAGCGCACGUAGGCGGACUUUUAAGUCAGGGGUGAAAUCCCGGGGCUCAACCCCGGAACUGCCUUUGAUACUGGAAGUCUUGAGUAUGGUAGAGGUGAGUGGAAUUCCGAGUGUAGAGGUGAAAUUCGUAGAUAUUCGGAGGAACACCAGUGGCGAAGGCGGCUGACUGGACCAUUACUGACGCUGAGGUGCGAAAGCGUGGGGAGCAAACAGG
rnacentral:rRNA from 1 species